AUUGAACGCUGGCGGCAGGCUUAACACAUGCAAGUCGAACGCCCCGCAAGGGGAGUGGCGCACGGGUGAGUAACGCGUGGAUAUCUGCCUUUUGGUUCGGAAUAACCCCGGGAAACUGGGGCUAAUACCGGAUGGUUCCUACGGGAUAAAGAUUUAUCGCCAAAAGAUGAGUCCGCGUACGAUUAGCUAGUUGGUGAGGUAAUGGCUCACCAAGGCGACGAUCGUUAGCUGGUCUGAGAGGACGAUCAGCCACACUGGGACUGAGACACGGCCCAGACUCCUACGGGAGACAGCAGUGGGGAAUAUUGGACAAUGGGGGCAACCCUGAUCCAGCCAUGCCGCGUGAGUGAUGAAGGCCUUCGGGUUGUAAAGCUCUUUUGGCGGGGACGAUGAUGACGGUACCCGCAGAAUAAGCCCCGGCUAACUUCGUGCCAGCAGCCGCGGUAA
rnacentral:rRNA from 1 species